rnacentral:rRNA from 1 species
GGAGGGUGCAAGCGUUAAUCGGGAAUUACUGGGGCGUAAAGCGAGUGUAGGCGGCUGCAUAAGUCGGAUGUGAAAGCCCUGGGGCUUAACCUGGGAAUGGCAUUCGAUACUGUGCAGCUAGAGUCUGAUAGAGGGAAGUGGAAUUCCGGGUGUAGCGGUGAAAUGCGUAGAGAUCCGGAGGAACACCAGUGGCGAAGGCGGCUUCCUGGAUUAAGACUGACGCUGAGGCUCGAAAGCGUGGGGAGCAAACAGGAUUAGAUACCCUGGUAGUCCACGCCCUAAACGAUGUCAACUAGACGUUGGGCUCAUUUCGGAGUCUAGUGUCGAAGCUAACGCGUUAAGUUGACCGCCUGGGGAGUACGGCCGCAAGGUUG